AGAACAGCCCCGGACUGGCCGAGGCACCCCGGCGAGUAUGCAGAGCCCCGACUCCUCCGGGCGCCGGGUGGGGCGCCGGUGCCUGGGCUGGGGACCGUGGCCCUGCCCCGCCUCCCGCUCUGCCUAGGUAGGGCUGACCCGGCCAGGGGUCCUCGCAUCGGACCAGAGCCGCUCAAGUACAACUACGCAGAAACAGCCCCUCACCUUCUCCUCUGGCCAGGCUGAGGCACUCGGACUGACCCCCCUGGAUGCCCAGGGCAGGGCGGCCACCAGCAGCAGCAGGUGGAGGGUGCCCACGACGCGCCGGUGUCUUCCGCCUGCCAUCUCUCCGAGUCUGUCUGGGAGCGGGUUCCCCGGGCCGCUGGCGGUCACGAGCCCGGGAACGCGCGUCCUUCGCCUUCCCUCUUCUCCACCCUUGGGUCGACUGCGCCCGCCUUCCCAUCGCCCCCGGGUAGCCUCCCGCCGCGUCGCGCAGGCUGCAGCCCUCCUACCCCGGACCUUCGCAAACCCCGGGGCUGGGCGGCCCUGGGUGACAGACACAAGCUUCUGAACCCAAGCUAACAAAGGCGGCCACUUCCUUCUCUUGGAGAAGAUGAAAGGAAGGAAGCAAGAGACAUGGAAGAGCCUUUUUAUGAUCUCCAAUGCCAAAACAGGGAACAGAAAAGGGAGGAAGGGUUCACCAGACCCUGGGGAGUUAUGAAGUGUUUCCCACAGCUCCUAAAGAAGGGGUGGACAGGGAAUCGACGUCUGCUGAACACGGCACCAGGCACCGUCCUAGGUGCUUGUCCAACCUUCCCGGAUUUAAUCCACUAAUCCCAUUUUACAGACGGGGAGACUGAGACACCCCCCCACCCCCCAUAGAAAGCCUGGACUGGAACCCACAAGCAAAAGUAUGACAGUGGAUCUUUGCCUUUUCUCUUUUUUCUCACAAAUAGUUGCCUUGCCUCACAUCAUACUCUCAAAUUGAAAAGGAUGGUCAAAGUAAUUAUCUGAAAUAAUGAGAUCUACAAUAUUCACAGCGGCUCUGAAGGAGUCAUCUUCUCCAAGGCAUGGCCCCAAAAGGAAAAGCCAAACACAAUUCUAUUUACUUUGUAACAUCAAAGGUCAUUGUUAUCCAGAUAAUCCUAGGGCAGGAAAACAUUUCAGUUUUGUCUGUAGGUUUCUGGUCCAAGUUGUCAGGACAGUGACUUUCACCAGCCUCUUUUGCUUCCACAGUGAGGAUCAGGGCUUGGCCUGCUCUGAGUCAUCUCCCAGUAACAUCUAGUUCCCAGAAAAAUCAGAACAAGGAUACUGAAGCAGAACCAUUUCACAGAGAGCAAAGAUUUGAAGGUGGGAUGACAAAUCCAGUUCCAUCUUAACUGGAAGCACAAAUUGAGAGUAUGCAGCUCUUUAUACUCACAUGGGAAAAUAAGACGUAGAAAUCAAACACUUCUGCUGCACACCAAAGGGCAAUUGUCUCAAAGAAAAGCAUUUGUACCGUUGUUUCAGAAGUAUAGUGGGCCGCAGUGGCUCACAUCUGUAAUCCCAACAUUUUGGGAGGACAAAGCAGGUGGAUCACUUGAGGUUAGGAGUUCAAGACCAGCCUGGCCAACAGGAUAAAACCCCCAUCUCUACUAAAAAUACAAAAAUUAGCUGGGAAUGGUGGCAGGUGCCUGUAGUCACAGCUACUCCAGAGACUGAGGAAGGAGAAUCACUUGAACCUGGGAAACAGAGUUUGCAGUGAGCAGAGAUCACACCACUGCACUCCAGCCUGUGUGACAGAGAGAGACAGUCUCAAAAAAAGAAAAAGAGAGAGAGAGAGAAGCAUAGUGAACUUGCUACUUUUUUCAUGAAAUUCCAAUUUAAUUGAAAGAACAAUGACUGAUAAAUUAUGAUUAUUCAGACUUGGAUAUUUGGCAGACAUUUGAAGAUGAAUAAAGUGCGCCUAUCCCUUGAAGGAAAAUAACUGACACUGUUUGUUGCCAGUGAUAAAACUGGAUCUUUGCAGUAAAAAUUGGAAUUUUGGAUAACUUGUAUCUGCUACCAUAAGCUUGAUAGUUUCCUGAUAUGCAACAACUUUUAUGACAAAAUUGGUGAUUUUAACAAAUGUGAUUAUUUAUUAUAUAUAAUGAAAUGCUCAACAUUUGGAAUAUCUGCAUAACUCAGUGAAGCAAUAUUUUCCAAAUGUUCAAUUCAUCAUGUUACAAAGUCACAAAGAAAAGUUCCACUCAAAGUAUAAGAGACACCCAGUGGAUUUUAAUGUAAUGGAAUAAAAACAUGUAUUUAGAAGCAGAUUUUAAGUUGUACCUUUUAUGACACUAUCAUUUGUUAUGUUUUGAUUUAAUAAUGAAGGAGAUUAUCCACAGUUAUCUGAAGAGGCUAUUAAAAUACUCUUCCUUUUUCCUACUACAUGUCCGUGUGGGGUCAAAUUUUCUUCAUGUACUUCAGCCAAAAUAAUAUAUCACAACAGGUGGAAUGCAUAAGCAAAUAUGGGAAUCCAGUUGUCAUCUAAAAAGUCAGAAAUUAAAGAGAUUUUUUUAAAUGCCAAUCUUCUCACUAAACUCUUUUUACUUUGGAAAAUGUAUUUUUUCAUAAAACAUGUGUCUUUAGAUGCAAUGACUUUAUUCUUUUAAAAUAAAUCCAUAAUUAAGUAUUUGUAAAA